AUCGUUAAUUACGUACCUAUAGUCAUAGUUAUUAUCAUUGUCAUCCAACAACUACCCUGCACCUGCAUGAUUAAAUUUAUUAUAAAAAGCACACGAACCGAAUCCAUCAACUUGGAAAAUAGUUCAGGCCACAGAGGCGAGGCGUGAAGAAGACUAAUCCAUCAGCUGGACUUAUUUGCAUUAAAUUAAAACGAAGAGCGAAAGUGUGGGAUUGGGAUCUCGAAAUGAAACCUUAUGUUCGGCACCAGUUUUCAGCCAUACGGAGUAAUUUGUGAGUGACGAAAUUGGGGCAAGGGAUGGGCCGGCACACGGGUUACUAAUAGAACAUAUGGAUGCCGUGUCGAAUGAUGAUGACGCUGUUGAAACGAGGAUAUGAAUGCCGUAGAAGUGCAUUUUGUGGCAUGUGUCGUUUAAUUAUGCUAAAAGCUAGCAACAACAAAGGCCCACACCAACAAAGGCAACAAAAACAAGUCAAACAAAUGCCAUUGAUAUGGCCGUUGAUCCUGAAGAGGGUGCGAAUACCAACCCCUGAGCAUAGAAAUAGAGUAGGAAGCCCCAGUUGCUGUCCCGUUUUCGUCCUUUUUCCUUUUUCGCGCCACAAUAAAAAGGACUAAAUGAAAUUAUUCUGUGCCCAGCACUUCUGAAAUCCAACCAAAUAAAAACUUAAGCAAAAAUCUGACUGCAGCGGAACAAACAACUGUCCUAAUGAUGGGUUUGGCCUUGGGGUCUCGCCCACUCAAGCGUUUAUCAGCCCAUUUUGGUCAGAAACUAAAGCCGUACAUCGUUUAUCAAACGCCACGAGAAGCACCAAUAUUACAGACCGUGAUGACAGUACGAGUAUGGAGGAAGGAAGGAAGACCCACCGCGCAGAAGACUGGCCUCAUGUGCGAUCUCUAUCAGCACGUCAUACUCAAGUCUUCAUUAGCCACGGAGAUGUCUUGAAUCAACUGACACGGAGAGGCUUUUCGAAUGGUGGGGCUAUUAAAAGGCGAAGAACAUUGUAAUGAUCAGCGUAAAUGUAUGUAAAAUCCCAAAUAAGAAGA